GGAGGAAUAUCGAAGCGGUCAUAACGAGGCGGUCUUGAAAACCGUUUGGGGGCAACCCCACGGGGGUUCGAAUCCCUCUUCCUCCGCCA
rnacentral:tRNA from 1 species